AAUAACUAUAGUUGUGUAUCGUGUCCUGCUCUUGGAAAAGUUUGGUGUCUUCUGCACUUGAGACUGCUUGGCAUACUAGUGGCCAUAUUAGCCUUGUGAGUUGUAAGUCUGACCUAGAAACAACUGUGCCAAAUUGCACAAGCAGAUAGUAAUGUUUGGCAGUGGCUGAAGUUUUCACUGCUAAUGGACCAACUGGAACUGACUUUCACUUGGCAUCCCACUAAAUAAUGAAUCCUUGCCAUCCUUUCAGCAAUAUGCUUGUCUUUUCUCUCUAAUAUUUUCAGUGGUCAUGCAUUAAAUACUUAUAAAUGCAAUGACCCUUGCUGGGCAGUGGGUGAAUUCCUUGCAAGGUGGUGGAGGACACAGGAUAUCUGGAUGGUAUGCUUGUUAACAGAGGUGUCUGUUUCGGCCUGUGUUUAAGAGAGACACUCAGUCUGGGAUUUGUUCAUUAGAGUUUUGCAAUCCAGGGUCACUUCUAGGUGGGGCACCGUACUGACAACAAAACAGGAAUGAACAGUAUUUGUGAUCUUAAAUGAUGGGAUGUAUUGGUAGUGUGACACUGCUUGACUCACUCGACAGAUAUUAUAAAUAUGUCUCUAGGUCCUGGGACACAGCUCUACUCUCCAGAAUACCUCCCAAUAUUUAAAAAGGAACUCAGAUAAAUGUGAUAAAGAAAUGAGUGUGGCAGUGGUAUGCAUGUGGGUGUUGGGCGAUGGAAUGUGGUCUUGCAGAAAAUAGGCAACUAACUGCCUUACUAUACUUUUCCUCAACUGCCUUUACUAUACCUACUAUACUGUACUUUUGAGAGCAUCUUUAUUAUGAACAUAGUUGGAAACUAGGGGACUGCCAUCUGUAGCUCUCUGCUCAACAGGAUUUAUGGAUGGGAAAUCCAACCAGGGAAGAAGUGAGGGAGGGCAUCGGAGUUAACAGGUAAUUACAAUAUAAUAUAACACACAGGUGAAGAAAAACAGGUCUGACCAAGACACAAUGGGAUCACAGGGGAAAGAUGCUUAGCUUGGUCAUAAGGUUCAGGAAAGGUGGCUUAAAGUCAAUCAGAUGAAGAGAAGUAGGAAAGAGUUUCCAAAUAGCAGAAACAAAAGCAGUCACUAGGUGUAUGCAGUACAGUAAAGUAGAAGAUGGAUAUGGAGGUGGAAGAACAUGAAUGUCAUUCAAGUCUUGCAUGUCCUACCAGCAGGCAAAGGCAAAGACCUUAUCUUAGACAGUGGAGAGUCAUUAAGAGUCACUGCAGACAUCUAGUUGAAAGAUUAAGAGAACUUGGAUGAAGGAAGUGUAGCUAACUUGGCAGUGAAGGGGGAUUUGAGAAAUGUUUAGAAAGUAAAAUAAUGCACCUGGGGAUUCAUUGGGUGUGUGGAUUGUAAGAAAGGGAGAAGUCUAGGUUGCUAUCAGGUUCUUACUCUGGAUGCUUAGAGAAAUGGAGAUUCCCUGAGAUGGGAAAUUUCAAAAUGGAAACACGGUAGGGAGGAAACCAGGAUUAUGUGGUUCCUGUGGUCAUUUGUGUGCAUAGGGCCAGCGAGCAGGUACAUGAAUGAGUCUAAACUUGAGAGGGAAGGUAGGGCAUAAGACAUCCACUUGGAAUUCAUCAGCAAACAGGAAACAAAUGAGAUAGAUAGUCCCAAAAGAGCAUGAUAAAGACAGAUUUUUUUUCUCCCUUUGGCCACAAAAAUGCAGACAUUGCCAGUAACCUGAAAUACUUCAUAUCUGAUGGCCUCAAUCUUCUGAAUGAAAAAGAAGACAAGGUUUAUCUAUUGAAAGUGGAGCCCAAAUACUGAGAAAAAAAUUAGGACAAUCAACAAAGAGAACAAUUAAAUACAGAACUCAAAAAAAAAAAAAAAAAAAAAGAAAGAAAGAAAAGAAAACAAAAUUGUCCUGUUGGUACUAUGCAAGCUUUUGAAAUUGUUCCUGAAAACAAAAUGCCUUCAGCUUCCUCUCUGAAAUGGUAGUCCUUGGUCUCAUUCCCUAAACAGGCAAGAAGAGUGCUAAAAUCAUGUUAGGGUCAUACUCUAUCUCAGGAACUCACACAGUUGAUUUCAAUUCCUUCAGAUUUUUGUACAUUGAACAUCACUAAGCAAGAAAUCACUGAGCAAGGAAACCAUUAGCCAUCUCCAAAUGCAAGCCUUCACAAAUAAAAACACUUACAGAAGAGUGGGGAAGAAUUGUGUUCUUUUUUUCUUUUCCCUCAAUGUUUAACAUUCAUUAUUCUAAAACAUCUCAACAAUCCAUAUGUAUGUCAGGAACAGUUUCCAAAGGAUGAUAGACACCAGGCUCCUUCUGCAAGCCUUCAUUACUUUACUUGGGUCUGAAUCACAAGGAAUUCCGAGUAUUGAUGCUGCAGGAAAGAUGUCUUUCCGAGGGGAAUUGGCAGAGAAUGUGAGCAGAAAGUCUAAGAAGACAAGAUGAACCAUCUUCUCAUAUAAGCAUGUGUGUGCCUAACAGACACUAACAGUGUAAUGUCAUAUUGGGGUGCACACCUUUUUAAAUUUUUUAAUCCUGUAAAGGGGCCUGUCUAGUAAAAAGAGCUGAAAUUCCUAAUCCGUGGAUAAUCCUCAUCUCUCCCUUCAGGGACUGCAGUUGCCUUCCCCAGGCAAACUUCAUCAGAGCUCUCAAGAGUGAGCCAAAUGGACAGAUCUGAGUUUCACCCCCUUAAUGAAGCAUGGUGAAGGACCAAAAGGCAGCCUGCUAAAAGAUAAAAUAAAAGGCACCCAGGGUCUUCAUGUUCCAAGUGGCUAAUUGGCCCCUAAAAAAUAGCACUGUGUUAAUGCCUGUGGAUUCGUAACAGAACAGCAGGGUCCCCCUGAAGAAGACCUUACCAACUGGGGGUCACCACAGCAGUGAGAUUCUCAGCUCAUGUCCUUUGUCCCUACUGAAAGCACUGCCAGCUUUUCUUCCUGUUACUUUGCCAUUUAGAGCACUUGUGAGAUAGGAAUGGGGGCUGGGAGAAGAGGGAAGAGAAAAAAAUUUUCUUAUGUUUUCUCUGCUACAUACAGAGACUCUGACCAAAAUAUUAAUUUUGGAGAUAUCUUCUUUUUAUGGUCUACCAUUGCAUUUGAUCUAUAAUAUCAAUCACAUUUUUUAAAAAAAGGUAUAAUGAAAUGGAAAAAACAGAAUGCCUAGAAAAGGAAAACCAGAAGGAAAAAAAAUAUAUCCCAAAUCAGAUUAGAAAGUGUGCAUAGAAAAAUCUUGCUUCCAUGUGAGACUGCUACCCAUUUGUUCACACUAAAGGUGUUUGCAGUAGAUAUUUACAUAAUAAUACCUUCUUCAGUGGCCUUUCCUUAACUGUUUAUUGAAAGCCCUUCUGGCUAUUCUAACAGUUUCUAAGCAUCUGCUUUUAUUUCAGGUGAAGAGAAGUUCAAAGUGUGCCUAUGAAGAUAGUAUAAAUCCAUAAUUUGACUUCCUAAAGUCCCCUGACUGAAAUGCACUAUUUCUCAGCUAGACCUUGAGUCCAUGCAAGAAUGUAACUUGAAUUAUACAAUGAAUUUGAGAUUUUAAAAAACUCCACUUUUUGCCCCAGCUCUCCUCCCUCUCUCUCCUGGUAGGUUUAUUCCUGUUUUCUCUUUCUCCUUCUUUGGGCUUCUUUGCCUUUUCCUUCUGGGCGUCCCGAAUCUGACAAAAGAAGGAGCCUAAAACUAAUGAACACGACUCAUAGUUUAAUACUUGACAUUUGGAACCACAUUCAAACAGCCUCCAUCUGUGUUGGUAGCACGUGUCCCCAAGGAAAAUUCCAACUGUGUACAUGUGGGGAUCUUCUUAGAGCAAAGAUAGUUUCAAAUUAAAGAGAAUAUCUGCAUUUAAAUAGAAAUCAACUAUUAACAACUUGAUUAUCUGAAAUAGCCAAAAAAAAAAAAAAAACAUUGUUGAUUGAUCAGUGAAUCCUUUUUUCCACCAAAGUUAAAAUGAUUUCAAGGACCACUAGAUGAGCCACAUGACUAUCACACAGCACAGAUGAGGGUCAUUUUUACCUUCCUUUGAACUACCAGCCCUUUGUUCACCUUUGAACCUGGGUUAAGCCCAUUACUUAUUCCAAAGCUUUUGUGGCUUAGAGGACACUGUGGUGGGAGAAGAGCAGUCCUGUUCUGUAAACUGCAAAGAGAUACACACAGAUCUCUAGACACAUCUCCUCCUUCAGGUGAAACUUCCUUAGUAGGCUGAAGUUUCCUCCUUUGGAAGUUUCCAUAAAGGGCUAAGAAACAAAGUCUUUCUAAUCUUGUUCCCAUGCAUCUGUGUAUUUGAAGAUUAAGAUUAUUUGUGUUUAGAGAGCACAGCGGCCACUUAGAUACCUCUCCAGCGGGCAGAGGCUG
rnacentral:lncRNA from 1 species